rnacentral:rRNA from 1 species
GGAAAGGACAUCAACCGAGACUCCGCAAGUAGUGGCGAGCGAACGCGGACCAGGCCAGUGGCAACGGUGAAUAAAGUGGAACGGAAUGGAAAGUCCGGCCUUAGCGGGUGAUAGCCCCGUACACGUAGAACAACCGUUGUCCUUGAGUAAGGCGGGACACGUGAAAUCCUGUCUGAACAUGGGGAGACCACUCUCCAAGCCUAAGUACUCGUGCAUGACCGAUAGCGAACAAGUACCGUGAGGGAAAGGUGAAAAGCACCCCGACAAGGGGAGUGAAAUAGAACCUGAAACCGGUUGCCUACAAGCAGUCGGAGGCCGCAAGGCUGACGGCGUACCUUUUGUAUAAUGGGUCAACGACUUAGUGUAACUAGCAAGCUUAAGCCGGUAGGUGUAGGCGCAGCGAAAGCGAGUCUGAAUAGGGCGUUCAGUUAGUUGCAUUAGACCCGAAACCGAGUGAUCUAGCCAUGAGCAGGUUGAAGGUUGGGUAACACCAACUGGAGGACCGAACCCGCAUCUGUUGCAAUAGAUUGGGAUGACUUGUGCUA